rnacentral:rRNA from 1 species
UGCAGUCGAACGGUGAAGCCAAGCUUGCUUGGUGGAUCAGUGGCGAACGGGUGAGUAACACGUGAGCAACCUGCCCUGGACUCUGGGAUAAGCGCUGGAAACGGCGUCUAAUACUGGAUAUGAGCUCUCAUCGCAUGGUGGGGGUUGGAAAGAUUUUUCGGUCUGGGAUGGGCUCGCGGCCUAUCAGCUUGUUGGUGAGGUAAUGGCUCACCAAGGCGUCGACGGGUAGCCGGCCUGAGAGGGUGACCGGCCACACUGGGACUGAGACACGGCCCAGACUCCUACGGGAGGCAGCAGUGGGGAAUAUUGCACAAUGGGCGGAAGCCUGAUGCAGCAACGCCGCGUGAGGGAUGACGGCCUUCGGGUUGUAAACCUCUUUUAGCAGGGAAGAAGCGAGAGUGACGGUACCUGCAGAAAAAGCGCCGGCUAACUACGUGCCAGCAGCCGCGGUAAUACGUAGGGCGCAAGCGUUAUCCGGAAUUAUUGGGCGUAAAGAGCUCGUAGGCGGUUUGUCGCGUCUGCUGUGAAAUCCCGAGGCUCAACCUCGGGCCUGCAGUGGGUACGGGCAGACUAGAGUGCGGUAGGGGAGAUUGGAAUUCCUGGUGUAGCGGUGGAAUGCGCAGAUAUCAGGAGGAACACCGAUGGCGAAGGCAGAUCUCUGGGCCGUAACUGACGCUGAGGAGCGAAAGGGUGGGGAGCAAACAGGCUUAGAUACCCUGGUAGUCCACCCCGUAAACGUUGGGAACUAGUUGUGGGGACCAUUCCACGGUUUCCGUGACGCAGCUAACGCAUUAAGUUCCCCGCCUGGGGAGUACGGCCGCAAGGCUAAAACUCAAAGGAAUUGACGGGGACCCGCACAAGCGGCGGAGCAUGCGGAUUAAUUCGAUGCAACGCGAAGAACCUUACCAAGGCUUGACAUACACCAGAACACCGUAGAAAUACGGGACUCUUUGGACACUGGUGAACAGGUGGUGCAUGGUUGUCGUCAGCUCGUGUCGUGAGAUGUUGGGUUAAGUCCCGCAACGAGCGCAACCCUCGUUCUAUGUUGCCAGCACGUAAUGGUGGGAACUCAUGGGAUACUGCCGGGGUCAACUCGGAGGAAGGUGGGGAUGACGUCAAAUCAUCAUGCCCCUUAUGUCUUGGGCUUCACGCAUGCUACAAUGGCCGGUACAAAGGGCUGCAAUACCGUGAGGUGGAGCGAAUCCCAAAAAGCCGGUCCCAGUUCGGAUUGAGGUCUGCAACUCGACCUCAUGAAGUCGGAGUCGCUAGUAAUCGCAGAUCAGCAACGCUGCGGUGAAUACGUUCCCGGGUCUUGUACACACCGCCCGUCAAGUCAUGAAAGUCGGUAACACCUGAAGCCGGUGGCCCAACCCUUGUGGAGGGAG